CAUAAGACCAUGUACUUUGAAUUAUGAGAUAUCGUAGUCAGACUGCUCGCCAUAAGAUUGGUAUGGAAUGUACGAUUACCAUUUCUAUUAUUGAUGGCCACACGAAUGUGCAGCAGUCGGUUGGUCCUCUUGAGACAUGCUUUUCAUUUUGUUAGGUUUGAAUUCUUUCUGGUUGUUAUAGGUUUUCCUGUUGACAGUACUCUGUGAAUAUAUAAUCAUCAACCAAAUCUUCAGGAAA